rnacentral:rRNA from 1 species
CCUACGGGAGGCAGCAGUGAGGAAUAUUGGUCAAUGGGCGGAAGCCUGAACCAGCCAAGUCGCGUGAGGGAAUAAGGCCCUACGGGUCGUAAACCUCUUUUGCCGGGGAGCAAGGGCCGGGACGCGUCCCGGCCCGGAGAGUACCCGGAGAAAAAGCAUCGGCUAACUCCGUGCCAGCAGCCGCGGUAAUACGGAGGAUGCGAGCGCUAUCCGGGUUUAUUGGGGUUAAAGGGUGCGUAGGCGGGCUUUUAAGUCAGCGGGAGAAAUUCGGGGCUCAACCCCGUCCGGCCGGUGAAACUGGGGGG